UACGGAGGGGGCUAGCGUUGUUCGGAAUUACUGGGCGUAAAGCGCACGUAGGCGGCUUUGUAAGUUAGAGGUGAAAGCCCAGGGCUUAACCCUGGAAUUGCCUUUAAGACUGCAUCGCUAGAAUCGUGGAGAGGUGAGUGGAAUUCCGAGUGUAGAGAUGAAAUUCGUAGAUAUUCGGAAGAACACCAGUGGCGAAGGCGACUCACUGGACACGUAUUGACGCUGAGGUGCGAAAGCGUGGGGAGCAAACAGG
rnacentral:rRNA from 1 species